rnacentral:tRNA from 1 species
UAGGACUUAGGUUAAUAGAAACCUGUUGCCUUCAAAGCAAUUAAUAGAUUAAUAAGUCUAGUCCUAA